UCUAGCUUCACAUCACAAGACAACUGACACACACACACCAAUCAAUAGUACAUUCAAGAUAGAACUUUGACAGGCAUUUUUUGAACGAUGGUGUCAGAUAAGUUGAUUAAGGGAUAGACAUUUCAACGUACUUAAAGGGGAGCAUACCAGUCUUGGUAUAUAGCCUUUAAUAGCAUUGAGUCAAAAACAUUUACCAUGAGGACAUUCUCACCACAAAUGCAAACAAAAGCACUUUGAUCUUUAGGAAUCAAUGUCCAAAUUGCUGCAAACACAA